UCCUGAGGCCUCCCCUUUAAAUAGAGCUCGUAACCUGGAGUAAAUUGGUCCAAACCGCAUCAAAAAAAGACUCUGAUUCGCUAUUGAAUUGAAACUCCAAAGUUUGCCGUCAGAUCUGCAUCGCACGGUCCAAAAAAUGCCUAAAAUGGUCCCGAAAUCAGCCCAAAAUCCAAUGCAAAAUACCAUCAGCCAUUCGAUCAAAAUCAAGAAGAAGCGAAGCCGUCCGAUCGUGCCAAUGGAGUGGGCCACCACCACUUUACAUGGUAAAGAAGGAUAUCAACCGUCCGAUCGCAUGUAAGGCGAGUUCUCAACCAUUGGAUGGCGCUCGAAUUUGAUGAACCGCCAGUGGACCACGCUUGAUCCAUAGAAAAUUGUGUGCAUCGAUCAGCCCUUGCAC
rnacentral:lncRNA from 1 species